ACCUGGUUGGCUCAGUGGGUAGAGCAUACAACUUCUUGAUUUCAGGGUUGUGGGCUCAAGUCACACAUUGGGUG
rnacentral:tRNA from 1 species